rnacentral:rRNA from 1 species
AAGCGCUUGCAACCAGACUUGCACGCGGUUGAUCAUCCGGUGUUCUCACCGGUGCACUCGACCGUGUUCAGGCCAGCAUCGGUUCAGGUGGUGGGAUAAAGGCGUCGGGCACGUAGCUCCUCCGGGAGUGUUAUAGCCCGGCGUGCCAUGCCCCCGCCCGGACCGAGGUUCGCGCUCCGCAAGGACGCUGGCGUAAUGGUCCCCAGCGG